UACGGAGGAUGCAAGCGUUAUCCGGAAUGAUUGGGCGUAAAGCGUCCGCAGGUGGCUAUGUAAGUCUGCUGUUAAAGAGUCUGGCUCAACCAGAUAAAGGCAGUGGAAACUACAUGGCUAGAGUGCGUUCGGGGCAGAGGGAAUUCCUGGUGUAGCGGUGAAAUGCGUAGAGAUCAGGAAGAACACCGGUGGCGAAAGCGGGUCUCUGGGCCGAUACUGACGCUGAGGAGCGAAAGCGUGGGGAGCGAACAGG
rnacentral:rRNA from 1 species